GGCGAGAUCACUCGCUGAGUUUAAGCAUAUAAAUAAGCCGAGGA
rnacentral:rRNA from 1 species